UCAGAGAAGAGAAUUACGCAGAGAGGUAUAUUAGGCUGAUCAGCCUCCCUUUCUAGAGGCCUAAAGAGAGAAACCAUGGCCUCUAUAACCUCACAAUCCUUCUUUUCUCUCUCUAAACCCAAAUCCGACAGUAAUAAUACCGUUAAAUCUUCCUUCAUCCACCACCUCAAACAACCCUCCUCCACCAUCAAGAUUUUCCGGAAACCAAAGGAUAAGCAGCGAUCAUUGUCGGUGGUGGUGGCCUCGGUGGACAACGAACUUGACGUCAUCCCCGUGCAGAGUGACGACAGAGUUGACCAGCAAAGUGGCGUCGUAUGUAUGGAGAGGGAAACAG
rnacentral:lncRNA from 1 species